CCCUAGCCCUGAUAGAAGCGAUAUCCUUUUAUUUUUUUCUUUAAAAAAUAAAAGAUAAAGCGGAUAGCAGGAAAUAGC
rnacentral:sRNA from 1 species